AGAGUUUGAUCCUGGCUCAGGACGAACGCUGGCGGCGUGCCUAAUACAUGCAAGUCGAACGAGAGCGACCGGUGCUUGCACUGGUCAAUCUAGUGGCGAACGGGUGAGUAACACGUGGGUAACCUGCCCAUCAGAGGGGGAUAACAUUCGGAAACGGAUGCUAAAACCGCAUAGGUCUUCGAACCGCAUGGUUUGAAGAGGAAAAGAGGCGCAAGCUUCUGCUGAUGGAUGGACCCGCGGUGCAUUAGCUAGUUGGUGAGGUAACGGCUCACCAAGGCCGUGAUGCAUAGCCGACCUGAGAGGGUGAUCGGCCACAUUGGGACUGAGACACGGCCCAAACUCCUACGGGAGGCAGCAGUAGGGAAUCUUCCGCAAUGGACGCAAGUCUGACGGAGCAACGCCGCGUGAGUGAAGAAGGUUUUCGGAUCGUAAAACUCUGUUGUUAGAGAAGAACAAGUGCUAGAGUAACUGUUAGCGCCUUGACGGUAUCUAACCAGAAAGCCACGGCUAACUACGUGCCAGCAGCCGCGGUAAUACGUAGGUGGCAAGCGUUGUCCGGAUUUAUUGGGCGUAAAGCGAGCGCAGGCGGUUCCUUAAGUCUGAUGUGAAAGCCCCCGGCUCAACCGGGGAGGGUCAUUGGAAACUGGGGAACUUGAGUGCAGAAGAGGAGAGUGGAAUUCCAUGUGUAGCGGUGAAAUGCGUAGAUAUAUGGAGGAACACCAGUGGCGAAGGCGACUCUCUGGUCUGUAACUGACGCUGAGGCUCGAAAGCGUGGGUAGCAAACAGGAUUAGAUACCCUGGCAGUCCACGCCGUAAACGAU
rnacentral:rRNA from 1 species